AACCAUUUAUUCAGCUAAACAAGUUUCAUAAUGCGGAGGGGACUUUUGAUUUUGACUUUUGAUUGCGUUCAUCAAUUAAUUAUAUAUGGGUUUGCCCAUUUUUUACUAUGUAAGAUUCGAGAAGUUUAGAAGGAUUUGGAGAUUAUAAGUGGAUGAAAUUCAUUUUCCUUAACUAACCCAUUAUUCGAUUUGACUUCCACACCUUUCUUCUUUCGCCAUUCUUACUGUUUUUAGCUCUUAAGCAGCUCGAUUUGGCAAUUUUUUUUCCUCUCUCGCACCUGGCAAAGAAUUUGAGCUCGAGAUCUCUUGGGUUUUGUUAGACAUCAUUUGGUUGUAUGAAUCGUCGGUAUAUGGACAUCAAAUGAUGUAGAGUGCUAGAUUUUUUCGUGAUGGACAAUGUUAGUGCUGAUGCAAUCAGAAGUUGCCGAAGUGAAGAACUUGAACUUCCAAUCUGAUGUCGACUACCCAUAGCUCUUUGCAGGGGCAUGAUGAUGACAGUGUUCAGGCUGCAAGAUCCCAACUAAAGAAAAGGCUUACAUUUGAAAGAUCUCUUGGUUCUAACAAUCUGAAAAGAGCUGUGGAUGUCAAUAAUCAUCAAGACCAAGAAGAUAUGGAACUGUUGUCACGAGUAAGAGCACAGGAAGGGGAGAUUCAACUUCUUCGUCAACAAAUUUCAGUUGCUUGCUUGAAGGAAUUACGACUGUUGAAUGAGAAAUAUGCACUGGAGAGGAAAUUUUCAGAUAUAAGAAUGGCAGUUGAUGAGAAGCAAACUGAAGCCAUUACUUCUGCCUUCAAUGAGUUGGGAUACAGAAAAGGAGAUCUUGAAGUGAACUUAAAAUUGACUAAUGAAUUGAAGGCUGUGGAUGAUGAAAGAUAUCACUACAUAUCAUCGUUGCUUGGGCUUUUGGCAGAAUAUGGCAUAUGGCCUCAGGUCAUAAAUGCCUCAGUUUUAACCAACAGUGUGAAGCUUCUUCAUGAUCAGUUGCAGCGGAAGAUCAGAACUUCUUAUGAAAAGAUUGGAGAACGAACAUCUCCUGCUGAAAAUCAAUUCGAGGGUGGAUUUCCAUAUAAAAAGAGAGAGAAUACUGAUGUUAAGUUCUUUGAGAGUGGAUAUCAAUAUCAAAAGAGAGAGAGUGUUGAUAUAGGGACUUCAAGAUACCAGCUUCCUGCCAAAGCUGAGCCUUUGAGAACAACUGAUGAUAUGUUUAUAUCUAGGAUGCAAAAUAAUAUUCCAGGACCAGUAGACUUAAGUCUAAGACCUGAAAUGUACCAGCCUGUCAACUACGACAAUUCUCCAGAACCUUUAUUCUAUGCUGGCAGGGAGGUACCUGGUGCUUUUACCCCUCCAGUUGAUGAUGAUGCUGUGGAAUUGCAACGCUAUCCAGCCGAUGAGAGAUACAACCCUGUAAUGAUUGAGGGACCUAGCAUCGAGAAUUUUCAAAUAGUUGGUGAGGCUACUCCAGGGAGCAGACUUCUUGCAUGUGGAUAUCCUACACGAGGGACUUCUCUCUGUAUAUUUCAGUGGGUUUGGCAUCUUGAGGAUGGCACAAGGCAGUAUAUUGAAGGAGCUACAAAUCCAGAAUAUGUUGUUGGAGCUGAUGAUGUUGAUAAACUAAUUGCUGUGGAGUGUAUACCAAUGGAUGAUAAAGGCCAUCAGGGAGAUCUGGUGAAGCUUUUUGCUAAUGAUCAGAACAAAAUAAAAUGUGAUCCUGACAUGCAACUGGAGAUUGACACGUAUCUCUCAAAGGGUCAAGCUACAUUUAACGUUCUUUUGCUGAUUGAUUCGUCUGAAAAUUGGGAGCCAGCAUCUAUUUCUUUGAGGAGGUCUGGUUACCAAAUUAAGAUGGGAAAUACGGAAGCUGUUGUAAUUGCUGAGAAAUAUUCAAGGGAAUUAUCGUUGAAAAUUCCUUCUGGGAUCUCUACACAAUUUGUUUUGACAUGCUCAGAUGGAUCAUCUCUUCCCUUUAAUACGUAUGAUGUUAGUCUAGGAUGCUGAUUUUUCUUGUAGGAUGCGGGAUACUCUCGUAUUGACAAUGAGAAUGUUUCAAAGCAAGCAGGCAAUGGAUGAUAGAAGGAAAGGAAAAGCAUAGAUCAAAUCCCUUCGCCAUUCAAGUAUUGUGUCCAUAUUCAUCAUUCAUUCAUUAUGCAAAGGAGAGAUGUAACUGAAUUUGUUUCAUCAUAGCCUGAACUAAUAAAUGAAAUAAAUCAUAAAGGUCUUCUGUUGCUGCUAUUUUACCUCUUACCCUUUCAUAGACAACUAUGCAUAUCUUCCCCUAUGAGUUUCUUCCCCAUAAUCAUAUUUAACAUUAUAGAUGGAGCUCUCUACAUUAGUUUGGAUUAAUUGUAGAUGUAAGGAAUGGAAAGAACAGUUAUAAUAGCACACUUCCACUUAUUUUUUUA